rnacentral:tRNA from 1 species
AGAGCAUUCGAUUCGUAAUCGAACGGUCGGCGGUUCAAAUCCGCCCAUCGGCU